rnacentral:snRNA from 1 species
GGAUGUGAGGGUGAUCUGGCUGCAGCAUCUGUCACCCCAUUGACCGCUAGGGUUGAUUCGGUUGAUCUGGCUGGCUAGGUGGGUGUCCUCUUCAUCCCUCAUCCCUCCAUGUACAUCCCUCCCAAAGCUGUGAACUCGGUCAAACAGGACAACCUUCCCAGAUAGAGGCGGACCGUUCUUCAUAUAUAUACAAGUUAGCUGCCCUCCCCUGCUAGAACAAGCUCCCAAGAUCCAAAUAAAGUGUAAACUCCUCUAGCAUUUAGAACAUUUCACAGUAUGACCCCGGCCUAUUUUU